rnacentral:sRNA from 1 species
UUUAAUACUAGAUCAAAAUUCUGGGUUCGAAGCCCUGCAGCGGAAAUAUCUUUUUGGUGCUUUUAAUAUUGUAUCUUGUAUGACAAUUGAAGAUACUUUUUCAUAUUGUUCUUUCUUCUCUGCUCAUUGUUAUGGUUUUUAUACUAUAUUAUAUGAUUCUUGAAGAAAAUCGUGCUUGAGUUUUAGAUAUGAGGGAGUCAUAUUUAGAGAACAAAAAUAGAAAAGAAAAUGAAUGGGGAAAAAGAUGCAAAUACUCUCUUCAAUAAACCUUCACAUAAAAUAUAUAUACCUUAUAAGUUCUAAAUUCGAAUAAAAUAUCCGCUGCAGCACAUUGUCUAAAACCAAACAUUCUAAUUUAAUAGUGGAUCAGAAUUCCGUGUUCGAAGCCCGGCAGCGGAAAAAUCCUUUUAGUGCUUUUUAUAAUG